UAUGUGCUGGAGAAUGACAAACUAUGGAAUCUAACGAAAAGAAGUGAACUAUGUGAAACAGGACUAGAGUGGAUUUGGGAACUGAGAUACAGAAGGUGAAGUUAGUGGUUCUGGGAGCUGAGCUACAUGACGAGGAGUCAUGGAGUCAGGCUUCUCAAGGGUUCUGGGAGAAGGAGGAGGGCAUAUGCUUCCUACACUACCCGCCCCAGCAUUAAAGCUUGAGACUUUAAUUAUAGAGAAGAAGAUGAUUUCGCAUCUGUCUGGAAAACAAGGUUGACAUGAGAGAGAUUGAUUUUGGAUGCCAAGAAAUCACUUAGCCUCCACAGAAUCUUCAGCUUCACAACAUCAUGGAAUAUGCUUUACCAGAGAGGCAAAUGAGAACAGACGAUGCAGGUGAUCCAGAUGUCCUUUAUCCUGCUUAAAGGAUCCAGAGAUGAAACAAUUACCAUCAAACUAGGGGAUAACCCGAAAGCAGCAAUUCCUCCAGGGAAGUGUGAUCAGGAUGCUGGGUGACUGAAAACCUCACCAAACAAGGGUCAAAUUAAAGGAACUGUGGAUAUUUAGCUUGGAACAGAGGAAACUCAAGAAUUUAACCAUAGUCAAGUGCUUGGAGGACUAUCGGGUAGAAGGAGAAUUGCAAUUUUUCUAUCUGGCCCCAAAGGAUAGACCUAGGAUCACUGGAAGAAAAAGCAACAAGAAAUAUUUAGUUAGUGUAUACUAUAUUCAGAGCACUGUGCUAGGCAAUGGGGGGAGAUAGAAAGAUUAGAAAAGAGAUGAUGCCUGUGCUCAAGGAGCUUACAGUCUCACAGAGAGCUAAAACAACAGACAGAUAGCUAUGAUUCAUAAUAUUACAUGCUAAGUACGUUAUCAAUAUUAGUCAUUGCACAACGUGGCUGUUAUUGUGUACAACGUUCUCUUGGUUCUGCUCAUUUCACUC